GACGAACGCUGGCGGCGUGCUUAACACAUGCAAGUCGAACGAUGAACCCGGAGCUUGCUCCGGCGGAUUAGUGGCGAACGGGUGAGUAACACGUGAGUAACCUGCCCUUGACUCUGGGAUAACUGCUAGAAAUGGUAGCUAAUACCGGAUACGACCCUCGGUGGCAUCACCAGGGGGUGGAAAGAAUUUCGGUCAAGGAUGGACUCGCGGCCUAUCAGCUAGUUGGUGAGGUAACGGCGCACCAAGGCGACGACGGGUAGCCGGCCUGAGAGGGUGACCGGUCACACUGGGACUGAGACACGGCCCAGACUCCUACGGGAGGCAGCAGUGGGGAAUAUUGCACAAUGGGCGCAAGCCUGAUGCAGCAACGCCGCGUGAGGGAUGACGGCCUUCGGGUUGUAAACCUCUUUUAGUAGGGAAGAAGCGAAAGUGACGGUACCUGCAGAAAAAGCACCGGCUAACUACGUGCCAGCCGCCGCAGUAA
rnacentral:rRNA from 1 species